UUUUGUAGAAUUCCCAUGCCUGUCGCUUCCACCAAGUCAUCUCCGGCUAGGGCAGGCCAUUCGCUCCCUCCGCAAGCACGGGUUUGACAGUUUAAGUGGCGCUCUCAAUUUUACUACUACAAAUUAAGAGCAGAAGAAAGAUUAAUUGGCGGAUUUGGCAUGUGGUGCGCCGCACACAUGGACCUCACUAUGCAUAAAAGAAAUUCAUUUCACAGGAGGAAGUGGAUCAGAUGCUGCUGGGAGCGAGUAGGACCCAGGCACUCAGGCAGCACCAAAUAAAAAAAAAUAAAAAUAAAAAUACAGUGCAUCAACCAUUCAGCCUUUUUCCCUCCUUGAGAGCCAACUAGUGAUAGGAGCAUUUGAUGCCAGCUGGAAUGGAAGGAAGCAUUGUCAUUGGGAAUUUAUUUGUGCAAGGAUCACUCUUUCACUAGCUUACAUCAGGUGACAAACUUAGUGACAGCAAAAAUGAUACAUGAUAUUCCUUUCAUCAAUUCUUCAAGAAAGAAAGAAAGAAGCCCUUCCAUUACGGUUCAAAUUUCCGGAUUUUGCCACACAAACAGGUUAUUGUCAGUAUGGUAACUUCUAUUUACGAGUUAUAACUCUAUUUGUUGCACAACCAAUCUACAAAUAGUGUUAGGGAGACUUCAACCGUGACCAGGAGACCGAAGCUUCAAAUCCACAAAUUGUAAGCAACUUCGUCUAAUAUGUCAUCUAGUAUGAAGUCCCAUAUCACCACAGUGAUCUCUUCACUUUCUGAUCGAAGAUCCAUCCAACUGCCAUCUUUAAGAUCCAUGCUAACUAGCUGGUCUAACGUGCUUGGAAAUUGAUAAUGGAGGUGGCGCUCAACAUGCUUAUUGAUUUCUGAGAUGAGAUUUUGUUCCAUUGGAGGUGCCCUUAUGUUGUGUUUGAGAGAAGAUAAGCAUGGGGGACUUCUGAAGUAUGUACUCUGGAUUUCUGUCACAGCUUCGCAAAUGCAGUCAAAGAGGAGCUUUGUAUCAUCUAUUUGAUCUCCUUGAUGUAGUUCUUCAAACAAGCAAGGGCUGAUUAAUUCAUCCUCUAUAUACCAUACCUCUAAAUUCUGAAAAUCCCUUGGUCCAAUCCAUCAUCUGAGGUGUACUGCGACCUCAAGAUAUCUUUGUGCAAAUCACCUGGAGAUCAUUGGAGGAUCAAAAGAAAUCAUUUAGAUUUUUUGAACAUUUUAUUUUAUCAAUGAUUGUCAACAUCUUCAUGGAAGAACAAAUCGAGAACAGAUACAGGACUGGGUUGCUCUUGCUUUUCGUGGUUUCCCUCGGGAGAAAAUUGUGAUAUCUAGACAAGUAGCAAAAGAAAGGGCUUAACUCCUUGAUCAUUCUAGUUGCUUGGGAACUUUGGAAACAUCGAAAUGAUUACGUUUUCAAUGCUACCUCUCCUGAUGCAAAUGAAAUUGGCAGUGGAAGCAGAGGGCACUUUGUGGUGUGCAGCCGGGGCUAAGGAGCUCCAAGGGUUAGUUUCAGGGGCUAGCUAGGUGCUGCUGUUUUUUUAGGUCCGGUCGUUCUUUGUUUGAGUCAGUGGCGCGUGUGUAUUUAUAAGUUUGUAAGGGGUGGGAUUGGUGUUGUUCUUGUUCUCUUUCUUCUUUAAUGAAAUGAUACACAACUCUUUUGCGUAUUUGAGAAAAAAAAACUGUGAUAUCAGCUCAAUAGACGCACUUGAUCGGGGAGUUGCCGGC